CUGAAAUGUAAUCUGCAGCACAUAUAAAAUUGGAAUGAUACAGAGAUUAGCAUGGCCCCUACACGAGGAUAACACCCACAUUUGUGAAACAUUCCAUCUAGUA
ensembl:snRNA U6 U6 spliceosomal RNA